rnacentral:misc_RNA from 1 species
CGAAAUGCGAUAAGUAAUGUGAAUUGCAGAAUUCAGUGAUUCAUCGAAUCUUUGAACGCACAUUGCGCCCGCCAGUAUUCUGGCGGGCAUGCCUGUUCGAGCGUCAUUUCAACCAUCAAGCCCCCGGCUUGUGUUGGGGACCUGCGGCUGCCCGCAGGCCCUGAAAAACAGUGGCGGGCUCGCUGUCACACCGAGCGUAGUAGCAUACAUUCUCGCUCAGGGCGUGCUGCGGGUUCCGGCCGUUAAACGACCUUCAUAACCCAAGGUUGACCUCGGAUCAGGUAGGAAGACCCGCUGAACUUAAGC